UGUCCCAGCCGCCGCGGUAAUACGUAGGGGGCGAGCGUUGUCCGAAGUUACUGGGCGUAAAGCGCGCGUAGGCGGUUAUUCAAGUCUGGGGUGAAAGGUUCAGCGCUCAACGUGAACAGUGCCUUGGAUACUGGAUGACUUGAGUCUGGGAGGGGGAAGGGGAAUUCCUGGUGUAACGGUGAAAUGCGUAGAUAUCAAGAGGAACACCGGUGGCGAAGGCGCCUUCCUGGCCUAAGACUGACGCUGAGGUGCGAAAGCGUGGGGAGCAAACGGGAUUAGAUACCCCGGUAGUCCACUCCGUAAACGAUGAGUGCUAGGUGUCGGGGGUAUUGACCCCCCCGGUGCCG
rnacentral:rRNA from 1 species